rnacentral:rRNA from 1 species
AUGAACGCUGGCGGCGUGCCUAAUACAUGCCAGUCGAGCGAACGGACGAGAAUCUUGCUUCUCUGAUGUUAGCGGCGGACGGGUGAGUAACACGUGGAUAACCUACCUAUAAGACUGGGAUAACUUCGGGAAACCGGAGUUAAUACCGGAUAAUAUUUUGAACCGCAUGGUUCAAAAGUGUAAGACGGUCUUGCUGUCACUUAUAGAUGGAUCCGCGCUGCAUUAGCUAGUUGGUAAGGUAACGGCUUACCAAGGCAACGAUGCAUAGCCGACCUGAGAGGGUGAUCGGCCACACUGGAACUGAGACACGGUCCAGACUCCUACGGGAGGCAGCAGUAGGGAAUCUUCCGCAAUGGGCGAAAGCCUGACGGAGCAACGCCGCGUGAGUGAUGAAGGUCUUCGGAUCGUAAAACUCUGUUAUUAGGGAAGAACAUAUGUGUAAGUAACUGUGCACAUCUUGACGGUACCUAAUCAGAAAGCCACGGCUAACUACGUG